rnacentral:rRNA from 1 species
AUUGAACGCUGGCGGAAUGCCUUACACAUGCAAGUCGAACGGUAGAGGGGGCAACCCCUCGAGAGUGGCGAACGGGUGAGUAAUAUAUCGGAACGUGCCCAGUCGUGGGGGAUAACGUAGCGAAAGUUACGCUAAUACCGCAUACGAUCUAAGGAUGAAAGCGGGGGAUCGCAAGACCUCGCGCGAUUGGAGCGGCCGAUAUCAGAUUAGGUAGUUGGUGGGGUAAAGGCUCACCAAGCCAACGAUCUGUAGCUGGUCUGAGAGGACGACCGACCAGAAGGGAACAGAGACACGGUCCAGACUCCUACGGGAGGCAGCAGUGGGGAAUUUUGGACAAUGGACGCAAGUCUGAUCCAGCCAUUCCGCGUGCAGGAUGAAGGCCCUCGGGUUGUAAACUGCUUUUGUACGGAACGAAAAGGUCUCUCUUAAUACGGGGGGCUCAUGACGGUACCGUAAGAAUAAGCACCGGCUAACUACGUGCCAGCAGCCGCCGUAA